UUCGGAUAUUGGAUUGGUUAUCG
rnacentral:snRNA from 1 species